GACGAACGCUGGCGGCGUGCUUAACACAUGCAAGUCGAACGGAAAGGCCCUGCUUUUGUGGGGUGCUCGAGUGGCGAACGGGUGAGUAACACGUGAGUAACCUGCCCUUGACUUUGGGAUAACUUCAGGAAACUGGGGCUAAUACCGGAUAGGAGCUCCUGCUGCAUGGUGGGGGUUGGAAAGUUUCGGCGGUUGGGGAUGGACUCGCGGCUUAUCAGCUUGUUGGUGGGGUAGUGGCUUACCAAGGCUUUGACGGGUAGCCGGCCUGAGAGGGUGACCGGCCACAUGGGGACUGGGAAACGGCCAAGACCCGUAGGGGGGGGAGGAGGGGGGAAUAUUGAAAAAGGGGCGGAAGCCGGAUGCAGCAACGCCGGGGGGGGGAGGAGGGCUUUCGGGUUGGAAACCGCUUUCGCCUGUGACGAAGCGGGGGUGGGGGGAAUGGGUAAAGAAGCACCGGCUAAUUACGU
rnacentral:rRNA from 1 species